rnacentral:misc_RNA from 1 species
UAUUUGCCAUUUGUAAAUUUGCGCCAUUUUCUUUGAAUAGAACCCAUGUUAAAUAACUUGUAUAUCCGAAUAUCGAAGCACGUGCUCAGCCGAGUGAUAUCGUACAUCGUUAAUUUAUAUUUUAUUAGAAUUUGUAACAUAGUUUUCUGAUAACAUGCCAAAAUCAAAAAGAGAUAAAAAAAUAUCUCUCACUAAAACGAGCAAGAAAGGGCUUGCCCUGAAACAACAAAUUGUAGAGGAUGUUAGAAAUUGCGUUGAAAAAUAUGUCAGAAUAUUUCUUAUAUCCGUUCACAAUAUGCGAAACAACAAACUUAAAGAUUUACGAGCGGAAUGGAAAGACAGUCGAUUUUUCUUUGGUAAAAACAAAGUGAUAGCGUUAGCCUUGGGUAAGUCAUCGAAAGACGAAGUUACGGAAGGUAUACAUAAAUUAUCGGCGGCAUUAAAAGGACAAUGUGGUUUACUAUUUACCAACCGAAAGAAACACGAGGUAUUGAAAUGGAUGGAAGAGUACGAAGAAGCUGAUUAUGCUAGAUCAGGUUUUGUUGUACAAGAAACUAUAACGUUACCCGAAGGUCCUAUGCCUGAUUUCCCCCAUAGCAUAGAACCUCAUUUAAGACAAUUGGGUAUGCCUACAGCUUUACAAAAGGGUAUAGUAACAUUAAUUAAGGAGUAUACAGUAUGCAAAAGUGGACAAACGUUAACUCCUGAACAAGCACGGAUUUUGAAAUUGCUGGAUAAACCCUUAGCCACUUUUAAAAUGAUACCAUUAGGUGUAUUUUCCAAGAAACACGGUUACAAGAAACUUGUAUCCGAAGAUGAUGUUAAAGAAAACAUUGAAGGACAAAUGGUGGUAGAAGAAGAAGAAGAAAAAGAAGAUAAUACGUGAUAUUAUAUACUAUCGGUGUUUAAAAAAUUCACAUAAUAGCACUGGCAAAAUGAGCGAUAUAAAUUCUAACGAAAGAAGCAGCACAGUGUUCGUCGAUUCUCUAAAUGCAUCCUAUAACGAAGAAAAUAGGAAACGUAACAGACGAAAAUCAAAGUACGAGAAUAUAUAUGAUUAUAACAUACGAGACUUUAUGCUAUAAUACGUAGAACAAAAUACGUGGAGCUAGAAAAAGUGCAAAGCACUCUGUUACGUUGCAAAACUUGUAUCUUUAUCGUCUUUGGUCCGAUAACAUAUUUAAUAGACUCGAGAUUUAAGCAUAACAAUAGUGUUACCCAGUGUAUGAUUAAAAACCGAGAAGAAUGUAAAAAUUCAUAAAACACCAAAGGAUAUGUAAUAUUGUUUAAAGUUGUAUUUAUUUUGUAAACGUUUUAACUCGAUCAUGCAGUAUUUAUUUUUAUUGCGAGAAAGCAUUUCAGGUCUUAAUUUGCAAUAAUUACUACGGAAUGCUUUGAAAUAUUACGAGUUGAUAUAGAUAGAACACGUACAAUCGGGUGCAAUUUCAUUGUUGUUACUUCUUUGAUUAAAAAUUCGUUAAUACAUAACAAUUUGAAAAUACCGCCUACGUAAAUACAUACAAAAUUAUCUUACAAAGUAUCCUAUGAACGAAAUUAUAAAUAAAUUUUAAUUUAUUUGUACCAAGAGUAACAUACUUAAUAACAGAAAUAAAAAAUACUACCCAAAAUUAAACCUCAUAAUUCGCACAUCCAUACGUUCGUGCCGGUUGGUUAUUACGUAUUAUAGAAUGGAUGCGAUACGUAUAAUUAUUAUUGUUGUUAAUAUUCAU